rnacentral:lncRNA from 1 species
GGGCAGAGAGGGCCACGUCUCCGUUACAAAUUAGACGGUAGGCUUCUUCGCCAUGAAGCAAAGAAGAGAAAAAGACACACAAGCACACUCACUACAAUUCUCUCUCGACGAAGGUACAAAGAUCUUUUUAUUUUUAUUUUACUCAUUAUAUCUAACAUAGGAGUAAACACACAAUCUCUCAGCCAAGGGAGUAUUGAGAUAUACAACGAGAACCCUUCAAGGGUGAAAAACAACAAAGCUUAUUUAUUUAGUUGUAUGUUUUGGAUUUUUUAAUUUGAUCAGCCCCGUCUAACGGUGGCUAAUUAAGCAGUGGGAGAGUUACCGGAAGAUUGAUGUCGGAGAUUUGUCCAGGUGACAUCUCCAUAUUAUCAGCUUCGGCUCCCGCAAGAUUCUUCUUCUCCUUCUGCAAGUUAAUAAUAGGUCAAAAACUCAAAAUCACCAAAUCCACUUUUCUUUCUCUAUUUUGUCUUCUAUAAUUUAUUAUCUACAACUACACAAGAAAUAUUCUUUUCAUACCAACCAUUCAAAUACAUAGCGAUCCUGGCCUCCAUAUAAACUUGCAAAUAUUGGUUUCCGUUCAGUAAUAUUAUCACCAAAUUAGAAUGAACAUCGGCACAAUAUAAAAUAGAAUAAACCAAAUCUAUCCAAAAACCUGAAUGCCCUAAUACUUAAAAGGGAGUGCAAUAUCUAUUAUUCUAUUAUAUAUGUAUAUAUGUGUGCAAGUAUAAGAGUGUAUAUGUGCAAGAAGUGCUUAUUGGCUUUUGCAUAUUUAAGAAGAAAGUAGCUUUCGUUACCUGGCCAGCCAAAGCCUGAUUCUCUUCUUUCAGCAGCUUCUCCUGUUUAUGAAGGACAACAUGUUCAUCAGUUGCAAGUUUCUAAACCUAAUUUCAGAUUCUGGUAUCAAAAACAAUAUUUUAAUCAUCCCUGAAAGACCAGAUGCAUUAUGAAGAAGUUUGAUUGCGAGCUCAUAAAGCACACUUAGAGAAACUAGUACAACACAAAUAUUUUGAGGCUUUCAACACGAGAGGAUAUCCGAAGUGCUAUAAAAUCAUAUAUGAUAUAUCUAACCUUUUCUUUGAGGCUAUCAACAAGCUUCAACAUUAGUUCUGUCUGCAACAAAUUGAAUAUAAGUGAACAAUCGUUUCAACAAACAAAGUAAGAAAUGAGAAGACAGUAUGAAGUCACCGUACCUUCCUAGCUCUAGUUAGAGAGAGGGCAUUUUCAAGGACCCCCUCCAGCUGAACGAGGGUGUCCACGCUUACACCACCGACAUUUGAUUCCACAAGCUUGCUGCAUAUAUAUGCACAGAUUGACAAGAAACCCUAAUACCUUUGUAAUGAAAGGAGGAGAGGGAAAAAAGUCUCAGGUAGUACUAACCUAUCCACAAGUUCAAGUAACUCAUUGUGUGAACCAUAGCUCAGAGCUUUUGACUGAAGAUUCUGUCCACGGAGAAGGGAUAUAAGAGCCGUUAGAAGGCAACAAAUUUGAGAAAUUUGAUAUGCACGUGGAUCUAUAACCUCACAUAGGAUCAUUCGGCGAACUAAUAUAUAGCUCAUAGGUGGACCAACAAUGCAAUACCUCUAUCUAGAUCCACAGUUUUAAGGUGCUAAACAUGUGUUCACAUAUGUUUAUCGAAAAAUUACUCUCAAGGGAAUAUCAAUAUCUCUCAACAACCUCUUCUAUGUUGAGGAAAACAUUUGUUAACUACAGCUCCAAAAUAGAAAUGAUAUGCGUACACGUUAAAUGCGCAUGAGCCAAUGCCCACAAAACGCAAGCUUAAAGUUGAGGCUAUGAGUUGGCUCAUACUAUUAUUCUAUUUCUAAUUUCCGUAUGUAUGAGUAUUAUUUGUUUUCCCUAAAUAUAAAAAAAUAACUAUUUAUAUUUUAUAAAUAAUUUAAUUUGGUUGAAUUGUAUACUUUGUUCUAUAGUAAUGUUUAGAGUAAUAACUAGCAAUGAAUUGGAGAUAAUUUUUCCUUUUCAGCAUAGUUUCUAAAAUAUGCAUGGAUACAUCACUAAACCAUUUUUUUAAUACACCAUGUAUAGUUUCUUGUGAUUUUAAAAAAUUAAUAAACGGACAUCGUUUUCACUAGCUAAUAUUUAGUGCAUAUGCAUUAGAUCACGAACUUUUUUUGGUAAACAUGUUAAAAAUUAGAUCACGAACUUAACUUUCGCUUUCCUCUUCUAUGUGAUUUGUUUAUUAUUUUUCCCAUACUAUACUAAUUCUUAUAUGAAACAUAAAAAAUAUGCGUUAAAACUGAAUACAUUUCCCAAAGAUAUGAAAGACAUGUAAGCUCUGCCGUAGUGCCUUUUAGGUAAGCUCAUACGAAAGCGUUGUAAUUAAUAUUGCUGAUAGCUCUGACUCUGAUCUCACUAAUCCCUGAAAUCCCUGGUUUACCAUAUAAUGAGUUUAUCCAAUUCUUCUUCUCCCACGUCACUCUUACAGCGUUUAUAACCUUCUUACCUAUAUUAAGUUCCUUAUAUAAUAGACAGGAAAACGGCCAAGUCCAAUCUCAACAUUGCUUCAUAGUCUCAAUCCAAACAUAUAUUUAGUAGUUACUAGUAAGUGCCUAUGCUAAAAAAUAGUUAACGUAUGAAAACUAUUUGUUACGUAUUGAAUACAAUGUUGAAGUCAGAACUGGCCACUAUCUUACCAUUACCAUGGACACAUGCGUCACCAAGAUUAUUUUAACACCCAUGGUUUCUAAUAGAUUCACAAGGCAUUUCUACACUUUUUGCAGAAUAUGAUCGGUCAUAAUAAAAAACAGUCUUUUGUUUUAUUUAAUUAAGUCGGUGCCCAUCGACUUUGAUGCCAUGCAACUGAAGAAAAAUCCUGGUAACCUAUGGCCCGGGGAUAACUCUUGUCCACCUGAAAUAGAUAUAAAUAUCUCCGCCACAAAAUUCCAACUUUGACAACUUAUGUUUAGCUCAUACCAAACCAGGAAAUCUCGACACGUCCUCCAUGCACAUGCACAACCUCCUUUCCAAAAAAAAAACAUGGUUAAUCUUCUACAUGUGCGUUUAUAAUCUAUAACAUCUAUAUAAAGGCACUCAAUCUAAGAAAAGUUGGUCGUGUUACAUCAAUACAGACAACAACAACAACCUCAAUCAACGUAAACUAUACUAAGAAAAUAAGAUUAGAUGAGAUGAUUAGUAAUUAAAGUCCUGGACUAAAAAGCAAAAUGGUGGAAGUCGAAGAAUUAGAACCACUUACCCCAGUUGAAGAGGAAGAAGAAGAAGUCAUAAGCUAUGAUGAUCUCAAACGACGCAUGUGGAAAGACCGAAACCUCAUGGAGAAGCUCAAGCAACAAAAAAGACACAGCAACGACGUCGUUUCCUUGGCAUCGCACCGAGCAGAAGCUUCACGGCGCAAGAAGAUGGCACGUUCACAAGACUCGGUGUUGAAGUACAUGAUGAAGAUCAUGGAGGUGUGUAAAGCGAAAGGGUUUGUCUACGGUAUCGUACCGGACAAGGGUAAACCGAUAACCGGUUCUUCAGACAGCUUAAGACGUUGGUGGAAAGAAACCGUUCAGUUCGACCAAACCGCUCCAAACGCCGUCUCCGAUUACUUAACAAUCGCAGCUGCUGCUGCGGCAGAGAUGAUCGAGAAAGAACCGUCGAGUCUAUUACACAUGCUUCAAGAGUUACAAGACACGACUCUAGGGUCGUUACUAUCAGCGUUAAUGCAACACUGCGUCCCACCACAACGGCGGUUUCCGUUAGAGAAAGGCAUCGCGCCGCCGUGGUGGCCGACGGGGACCGAGCUUUGCUGGGGAGAGCAAGGAGAGGCUCACGAGCACGGUGUGCCGCCGUAUCGAAAGCCGCACGAUUUGAGAAAGUCUUGGAAAGUUAGCGUUCUGGCGGCUGUGAUUAAACACAUGUCGCCAGAUUUAGGGAGAGUGAGACGUCUCGCGACGCAGUCGAAAUGUUUACAAGAUAAGAUGAUGGCUAAAGAGACCGAUACUUGGUCUCGUGUGUUAAACCAAGAAGAGGCGCUUCUUAAUAUCAAAGACCUCAAGAUCUCAGAUCAAGAUCAAGAAGCUUCGGGGUCCAAGACCAAGAGAAAAUGUGAUUUUAUGGAACCGUCUAAGCGUCCUAGGAAUGAUGUGAUACAAGAACCGAGACAGAUCACAGGAGAUAUGAUAUCUAUGCUUGUAACGUCCCCAAGUAUUGCUACUAAUACAACUAGUGAAGAUGAUUACAGUGUAAGCUCGAGCGCAAUGGGCAAGCCAGAUGAUUAUGAUAGCAACUGGAUGGAUUAUUUAUGGUUCGAGAGGAUGCAACACGAGUUUUGUUGGGAUUGUGAAAUCCCAUGUCCAACUCUAUAUUAUCCGAUUAGUACGAUAUUGUCCACUUUGGGCCUAAUUGGCAAGCCCGCAUGGAUUUACUUUUGGUUUCCAUCCCAAAAGGCCUCGUACUAUUAGAGUUGGACAUCUCUUUAUAUAUUAGACACUCCUUGUCUAAUUAUCCAAUGUGGGACUUUGAUUGACAUCUCUCAAGUUUGAUUCCUCUAGGAGAUUCGAUGAUGACGAGGAUAAUGCGAUGGUUUUGAACCAAUCCCCUGAGUCUAAUCAAUCUGAUAACGUUAGUCAGAGUGCCUUUUCAGUUUGGGAUAUGGGUUGUGAAGACAAAGACAUAUAUAUGUUCGAUUAUUAAUCAAGCAUGUCACCUUGUGUGCUUUGGGUGUACCCAAGUCAGAACAUUUCCAUACUUGUAUACUCUUUAGUUAGCUCUAUCAACCACCAAUACAAUUGAAUAAUUCAUAAGUCAAGCUUUACUAAUUAAGUAAUAUUAUUAAUUAGAAUCACUAGUUAAACCGUUUUGUCUUUCCCUCCACUCGUUCCAAUUAGUUUUUGAGAUGUAGCAUGUGAAUUAUAUUAUUUGUUCUUGGAUAAUAGACGAAGACAAGGAUAUGAAGAGGUCCGUUAAGCGUUGAACAGAAAUGGAUCUUAAGAACUUAAGCCUUAUAGAGCCUAAUCAGACCGACUCGGACCCAUAGAAAAACCAUGACAACCUCUAUGCGUUGUGGAUAAAUACAAAGGAAUUACGAAUACAAAAGGGCAGAGAGGGCCACGUCUCCGUUACAAAUUAGACGGUAGGCUUCUUCGCCAUGAAGCAAAGAAGAGAAAAAGACACACAAGCACACUCACUACAAUUCUCUCUCGACGAAGGUACAAAGAUCUUUUUAUUUUUAUUUUACUCAUUAUAUCUAACAUAGGAGUAAACACACAAUCUCUCAGCCAAGGGAGUAUUGAGAUAUACAACGUGCACCCUUCAAGGGUGAAAAACAACAAAG